rfam:Drosophila persimilis strain MSH-3 cont1.018922, whole genome shotgun sequence.
AGGCUCAUUAUAUCAGUUAUGGUUCCUUAGAUCGUUAACAGUUACUUGGAUAACUGUGGUAAUUCUAGAGCUAAUACAUGCAAUUAAAACACGGACCUUAUGGGACGUGUGCUUUUAUUAGGCUAAAACCAAGCGAUCGCAAGAUCGUUACAUUGGUUUAACUCUAGAUAACAUGCAGAUCGUAUGGUCUUGUACCGACGACAGAUCUUUCAAAUGUCUGCCCUAUCAACUUUUGAUGGUAGUAUCUAGGACUACCAUGGUUGCAACGGGUAACGGGGAAUCAGGGUUUGAUUCCGGAGAGGGAGCCUGAGAAACGGCUACCACAACUAAGGAAGGCAGCAGGCGCGUAAAUUACCCACUCCCAGCUCGGGGAGGCCCUGUAAUUGGAAUGAGUACACUUUAAAUCCUUUAACAAGGACCAAUUGGAGGGCAAGUCUGGUGCCAGCAGCCGCGGUAAUUCCAGCUCCAAUAGCGUAUAUUAAAGUUGUUGCGGUUAAAACGUUCGUAGUUGAACUUGUGCUUCAUACGGGUAGUACAACUUACAAUUGUGGUUAGUACUAUACCUUUAUGUAUGUAAGCGUAUUACCGGUGGAGUUCUUAUAUAUAAUUAAGUACUUGUAUUUUUUUAUAUAUUCCUCCUAUUUAAAAACCUGCAUUAGUGCUCUUCAUCGAGUGUUAUUGUGGGCCGGUACAAUUACUUUGAACAAAUUAGAGUGCUUAAAGCAGGCUUCAAUAGGCCUGAAUAUUCUGUGCAUGGGAUAAUGAAAUAAGACCUCUGUUCUGCUUUCAUUGGUUUUCAGAUCAAGAGGUAAUGAUUAAUAGAAGCAGUUUGGGGGCAUUAGUAUUACGACGCGAGAGGUGAAAUUCUUGGACCGUCGUAAGACUAACUUAAGCGAAAGCAUUUGCCAAAGAUGUUUUCAUUAAUCAAGAACGAAAGUUAGAGGUUCGAAGGCGAUCAGAUACCGCCCUAGUUCUAACCAUAAACGAUGCCAGCUAGCAAUUGGGUGUAGCUACUUUUAUGGCUCUCUCAGUCGCUUCCCGGGAAACCAAAGCUUUUGGGCUCCGGGGGAAGUAUGGUUGCAAAGCUGAAACUUAAAGGAAUUGACGGAAGGGCACCACCAGGAGUGGAGCCUGCGGCUUAAUUUGACUCAACACGGGAAAACUUACCAGGUCCGAACAUAAGUGUGUAAGACAGAUUGAUAGCUCUUUCUCGAAUCUAUGGGUGGUGGUGCAUGGCCGUUCUUAGGAAACGCAUUAUCUCUCAUUGUUGUAUAUAUUUGUGUGAGAAGAACGAAGAAAAAUAUAUAUUUUUUUGUCCUUUUUGAAUCAAAUAAUACUGAGGAAUGUCUAGCAUAAAAAAAUAAUUAAAGUUUUUUCAUCCAGAAUUGCCUCUUAUUAAUGUUUCGAAAGGAAAUUUUGUUGUAAAUAUAAAUAUUUAAUAUUCUUCUUGAUAUUCGUUAUAAAAUACGAAUAUUAUAAUGAUUUCAUUAUGAGAACGCUCUAUAUAUAAUAAUAUAGUGUAAUUAUCAUUAUAAAUUUUAAUAUACGUAUAUACAACCUCAACUCAUAUGGGACUACCCCCGGAAUUUAAGCAUAUUAAUUAGGGGAGGAAAAGAAACUAACCAGGAUUUUCUUAGUAGCGGCGAGCGAAAAGAAAUCAGUUCAGCACUAAGUCACUUUGUCUAUAUGGCAAACGUGAGAUGCAGUGUAUGGAGCGUCAAUAUUCUAGUAUGAGAAAUUAACGAUUUAAGUCCUUCUUAAAUGAGGCCAUUUACCCAUAGAGGGUGCCAGGCCCGUAUAACGUUAAUGAUUACUAGAUGAUGUUUCCAAAGAGUCGUGUUGCUUGAUAGUGCAGCACUAAGUGGGUGGUAAAACUCCAUCUAAAACUAAAUAUCACCAUGAGACCGAUAGUAAACAGGUACCGUGAGGAAAGUUGAAAAGAACUCUGAUUAGACAGUUAAACAGUACGUGAAACUGCUUUAGAAGGUUAAGCCCGAU